rnacentral:other from 1 species
AGAGCCCUACCGUGUGCGUGGUCAAACUGGCGGUGUUAUGAGCCAACACCGAAUACUGGGGAGCCCAAGCUCUGAAGGUGGCGCCAAUGCCCUGGCGAAGGGACUGGCAAAGCCUUCAGGCGGGCACCCACCUGCUAGAGCAGGUUCAGUAACAGCCAGUCUUAACGGCACGGUGGGGACUGU